CGUUACGGGACAGGAACGGCAGUUGGUGCCCCGCGCAUGCGCUGCGGCUCAGCACCGGGACUCCCCGCCGUGGCGGCGGGGCGCGAGGAGCGGCGGGAGCUCGUGCCGCGGCGGAGAAGCUUGAGGGCCCGAGGAUCAGCGUGUGGGGAAUCCUCUGCCUUGAGGGGAAACAGAUGGUGCAGCCUGGUUUACUGACAACACUUUGUCCCUGGUCCUGCAGAUACACAGUGGAGUGCUUUAUGAAGUAAGGUUGUUCUCUACAGUGUUCGAAAGGGACAUUUUGUCAUGUAAGUAGUGAUACAAAAUUCAUUCCUGGAAUAUGAUAGAUUUUUUACUGGUUAUGAAAUGCUUUGCCAUAUGUACAAGUUACUAGCAGGGGGAGAAUAGUCUGGGAAACAAAUGGGAGCAUGGUACUCUGAUGGGAUAUCAGGUAAUGGAAGUGGGUAAUGUCAGGUAGACAUUGAUACUGGUCAAUGCUAAGAUUGCUCCUUAGAAUCUGAUACUGAUUUUCCAGUUAUCAUUUCCUUGCUUAUACAGACUUGAGUUAAUUUGUCAUUUCCUAUUUUCCAUGUCUGGUUUUGUCAUCCUUUUCUGGCACAGGAAGGCUGUCAGGGACCAGGUACAUGAGAACUGGUA